UUGAAGAGCAGCAGCGGGCUGUGGUCUGACCAGCCGGCAGAAGAGAGAGAUUAUCUCUAAAGGAUAUGAAAGGUUUAAUCAUUUUAAUUUUGUUUUUAUUAAAGUUCAUCAUAACUCUUUCCCCUCCCCCAACGUGCCCUGGUAGAACAAAAGGAGGUGUAAUAUAAAUACACAGGACCCUCCCUCCCAACCAAGUGUUUGGCCAAUAAAAAAAUCUCCUUUGGGUGGUGCCCUGAGGAGAGGAAGCAGCAUCAUGGCCGUGGACUGUAGACUGAGCGGGGCAGGCUGGACACAGCCGUAUCUUGUAUCCGGUGUCUUACCAGUCUCCAGUCUACCUCCAGCAGUCACGGGAGGAUCAGAGCUUCUCUUGACUGGAAGCAAAAACCUCUGUCUUGAUUUUUUUGUUUUAAGCAAGUCCGGCUCCUCAAAGACACUUGUUGCUGAAGAACUUGAAAUAUACCAGGAGCAAGAAAACUCUGCCCCAACCAGCCUCUCCGACCUCUGUUGUUCUGGUGAAAUAUUUAAAACCAGAUACUUUGCCAACAUGCUUUAGACAGCAAAGCUGGGACAAAGACAGUCUUCAGUUUUCAGACAGACAGACAGUCAGACACAGAUAGCAUGAAGCUUUCAGAUGCAAAAAAAAAAAAAAAAA
rnacentral:lncRNA from 1 species